rnacentral:lncRNA from 1 species
UUGUUGGUAUAUCUCUCAGCCUCUCUGUGUUUCUUUUUUGGGUUUUCAAGUGUUGUGACAGCCUGGGGAACUACAACCCCCAUUGUGCCCCUGGAGUCCCUCCCCUUUGAGUCGUGGCUUGAGAUUGGUCCGGAAUUGGACCAAUCCCGUGGUGGGGGAUGAACAAUGCCCAUGGCCUCUCCUUAGUCCAGGAUUGAUCAAUCUCAAUGCCAAUCACGCACAGUAAUAUAGGGAGCAUCCUUACUCACCCAGGGAAUGAUUGGUCCAAUUCAAGACCAUUCACUCCAAGGAAAUAUGGGGGAGACACCCCUGGAGCACACUGGGGGAUGCAGUUCCUCAGACCACAACCCAAGAAAAGCCACACUAUCUGUAGCUCAUUAUGCAUGUAGACUGAGAGGUGGAGAAGGUGACAGACGGACAGGAGGACUGACAGACAGAGUGCUUCCUUUAUCUGUUAUUCUGUUUUACUGCCUUCUUUUUAAUGUUUCCACCCAAACAUAUCGGAAUAAGUGGGUGAAGGCAAGCAAAGCAUAUGAUGAUGCCCCUGUGGUUUUCAGAUGGCUCAGCAGAUGUAUUUGGUUCAAGAUUGGAGGGGGCGUGGCAGACAUACAGUUUGGCCAGUGA